GCGACUCAGUAGUCCCUGUGACCAAGUGCCCGCGGGCACCGCGUUGGCUACCCCUGUUUUAGAGCGAUAGUUGGAUAUUUUGGGAAAUACGCUUUAGCUUUCUUGCCGAGUGAUAGAUGAGAUGAUUGACCCCUUUGAUGUCUGUACGCGAGAGUGACCUAAAAGACGGCGGGAGAUGGGGGAGGUAUGUGUUACAGUACAAUAGCCGGCUCAAUGUCAGGCUUACUGCUGGAGAUGCUUACCGUGAUGCUUCUACUUACCUGACCUCUGACUUAUCAAGUGGAUGACACUUUGGUUUCCUCUGUGUGACGACAUCAGAGGAUUGACGAGGGGAUUUCAGACAGACCCCUUUGUUGGGGUCGCCAAAACGAUCGCCAAAUAUGGAAGCAAAUGUGUGUGUGUUUUUGUGAGUGAGCUGAAUGUCCAUACAUCCCUUUUUAUACUCAGAAACAUAAUAAUAAAUGAAAACAAGAUUUCUUUUGAAAAUCAA